rnacentral:misc_RNA from 1 species
CGCACAUUGCGCUUCCUGGUAUUCCGGGGAGCAUGCUCGUUUCAGAAUCAUUAAAAAUCUCACAACCCUGAUGUGCUUUACUGUGCAGCAGGCAAGUGAAUCUGAGCACAUUUGGCUGUGGGCUUGCCCUGGCCAAAUGCUCUAAAAUGAUUGCGUGUGUAACCCACUUUUGAUUUCAUCAGAAGUGGCGUAUCUCUCCAGUGCAACAAGAUAUUAUUAUCAGUUCGCUGUUUUGGAGAUAUGCACAUACUGCUCCUAUACCUUUAAACAGGCACUGCCACAGAUUCUGUGUGCAGCGCCUGAUAACUUGGUCUGAAAUCGAGCAAGAAAACCCGCUGAACUUAA